GACGAACGCUGGCGGCGUGCUUAACACAUGCAAGUCGAACGGAAAGGCCCUGCUUUUGUGGGGUGCUCGAGUGGCGAACGGGUGAGUAACACGUGAGUAACCUGCCCUUGACUUUGGGAUAACUUCAGGAAACUGGGUCUAAUACCGGAUAGUAGCUCCUGCUGCAUGGUGGGGGUUGGAAAGUUUCGGCGGUUGGGGAUGGACUCGCGGCUUAUCCGCUUGUUGGUGGGGUAGUGGCUUACCAAGGCUUUGACGGGUAGCCGGCCUGAGAGGGUGACCGGCCACAUUGGGACUGAGAUACGGCCCAGACUCCUACGGGAGGCAGCAGUGGGGAAUAUUGCACAAUGGGCGGAAGCCUGAUGCAGCAACGCCGCGUGCGGGAUGACGGCCUUCGGGUUGUAAACCGCUUUCGCCUGUGACGAAGCGUGAGUGACGGUAAUGGGUAAAGAAGCACCGGCUAACUACGUG
rnacentral:rRNA from 1 species